rnacentral:rRNA from 1 species
UACGAGGGGGGCGAGCGUUGUUCGGAAUUAUUGGGCGUAAAGGGUGCGUAGGCGGUUCCGCAAGUCCUGUGUGAAAUCUUCGGGCUCAACUCGAAGUCUGCACGGGAAACUGCGGGGCUUGAGUGUGGGAGAGGUGAGUGGAAUUCCCGGUGUAGCGGUGAAAUGCGUAGAUAUCGAGAGGAACACCGGUGGCGAAGGCGGCCAACUGGACGAAUACUGACGCUGAGACACGAAAGCGUGGGGAGCAAACAGG